UUGUAUGUUCCAAAACAUUGAAAUAUCUCUACAAAGAAGUGUCUUGUGUAUUUUAAAAAGGGUAAAUGAAAUACCCUCAGUGUGCUAAUUUUAGUGCAGUAGGUCUGAGUUUCCAGGUGAAGGUCACAAGGUGUUCUCUGGGUUUAGAAUCCAUAGCAAUAGCCGGAGGUGCCUUUGUGAAGUGACAGGUAGAGACAUAGCUGUGUUUAAAACUAUUUAUGUUUCAUAGAAGAGCUCUUUGAUUGCAUUUAUAGAAUUAAUGCAAAAUACCUUGAGUGGUUCAUGCAAGCUAAAUACUACCCCCGUUGAACAUCUGCAUUUUCCAUUCAGAAUGAGCAGUGUGGAGUCUGUACUUUCUGCACCUCUUUAGAGAUAAUUUCAUUCUGUCCUUCCUUGUAGCCAGUCAGGACUGUGUGCCAGGGAGGAAACCCUUGCAGAGCAGUGAGACAAGCUAUAGUCAGUCUAGUUUUCUUUGGUACAAGUUCAGCUUCUUUGGGAAGAAAGUGGGCAUGGAUCUGAAGAUAUGUCCAGGACUAAAUGAAGAUGUGAGAUUCUUUAGUGGAAUUACCAAGAAGUGGAUUUCUAGCUUCAGGUUGUGAGGCCUGAUGUGGUAUUGGUUACAGAUGCUGCUCUAAUAUAGCCCAUAUCCCACAAAUGUACUAACUCAGCAGUAUGUUAAAACAUGACGCUGCUUGGAGAUGAAUGCCUUUUGCAGUCCAUGCUUAUUUCAUUUUAUUAGAUGUUGUCUUAACAAUACCAAUCUGUCUCUUCUGCUGAUAAUCACCACUGACCAAAUGCUUUUGGGUUAGAAUGCUUUUAUGGCAGUUCAAGCCUAAUUUCCAAGUAGAUUUCUAGGUAAAAAGCCACAAGUUUUGUUUAGUGUGUUGGGUUUUGUGGGGUUUUUUUCAGUCAUCCCAUAUGUUGAUUUCCUAUACCUGGAGAUUGUGCUAUACACAGAAAGGCCACUUGGCCCUAGUGCUAAGGAAGAAAACCCGGUGCUGUGUACAUCUCUUUGAUUACCUCAUUUUCCAUCAAUCCUCUUGCCCUCACCCAACAGCCACCUUCCAAAAGCUGACACUACCAACCAUCAAGAUCCUACUAUUCACAGGGUAAUUGCUAUUAAAUGCUCUUGGGUUAACCCUUAAUACACAGCAAGAAAAUGCCCCAGAUGCAGAAUGUUGGGAUAAAAAAAGAGAUAAUCAGGAUUUUGUUCUCUUAUUCCGAAAGGGUACCUGCUUCUAUGAGUAUGUCAGUGUGAAGAAAGCUGGGCAGCUGCCUUGUUCUUAAGCUCUCCUUGCUUCCAUAUUACUCUUCUGUCUUCUGAAACAGGUCAUGUGAUAUAGGUUAUGUUUUGGACUAAAUUAGAUGAGGCUUUAAAGUGAGAAUACUCAAUAUAUGAUAAGUGUCAAGUUCUGUUUUGCUGGAAAAUAUUUAAUAUUUAUCUGUUUUUCCUCAAGGUGUUUUCACAUAAAAGAUCCCCUGUCAAGUGCGAGAACCGAAGCUUGUUCUGUGAGCCAUAAAAAUCAGUCUUAAUAUUCUGAAUUUAUGAGGUUUAAUUCUUCAGUAUUGUUGUUUCUCUGUAAUCUUCUUUUGGUGUAAAUUAUUUUCCUUUGAGAGAGGAAUCAAUGUGUAGUACUGCUUAAAAGAAUCCUAUUUGAGAAGUUUGUCCCAAACCAUAGGUUAGGUUUUAAAACUUAGAAGUUCCCUGUGUAUGCAGAUGGGAUGUGAGAGUCUCCUGAGAGUUCAUGAUUUGCACUUCUAUGCUGCUUUGUGCAAACAGUACUUGAUAGCAGGAACUUAAUUCCAACUGUGUUCUUGCAGGAAUUUGUUAUUCUUGAUCUCAGGGGGUAUUGCUCAUUUGAUCCACAUGCUCUUUAUCAAUCUUCCUUGCUGAAUGCCUGAGAGAAAUUGUGAUAGGCAGGUAUGGUCAGUUUAAUAAAUGAAGGCAUUGUUGUGUCUGUUUGAAACAUCACAAGAGGACCUCUUUGCUGGCUAGUGCUGUGACUGUUCUAUAAGGCUGCCAGGGUCUGAGAAAAUUCAUACUGAGAAAUGGUAUUUUUAAUGUUCUUGAAGGGUGUGGUUGAAUUCAUACUUCUCUUAUCCACACAAGAAAAAUAACUGUAUAAACAGUAUGCCAUGAUUCUUUCUCAAAGUAGUAAAGAGCAGGUAUGUGGAUUUAGAAAAUAAAGGAAUAAGAAAUUAUUCUCAGCUAUUUUUUCAUUCUCACUUAAAUAGCUGAACUAUUGAAUCUUGUUUCCUGUUGCUUUUAAUUGAAACUUUGAGAAAGGAUUCUUUCUUUGUGGUGCUCUUGAUGUGAUGUCCAUCAUCUAUAAAGUCGUGACCAGGUCAGAGACCUAAGGCCUUGGAAGACUUUUAUGUUGCAUUGGUGGUUUUUUUGUGAAAUGUAAGUGUAUUAAGUAUCCACUUUUUCCAGUAUUAUUCCUUUCUCCUCCUUUUAGGAUUAACAGAAAAGCAAUUAUCAGCUACUUUAUAACAGAAUUCUGUAUUGUAAUUUCUGGGGAAAAAAAAUCUUCUAAAUAGAGAAAUCAAGUGAAUUACUGUAAGCAUGUGAUUUUUUGUGAAACUCUGAAUUAGCCGUAUAAAAAGUCACUCUUCAGUUUCUUGCUGUGCUAGAAGAAAGGAUUUUUACACAGGGAGAGUUCUGCAUACUUUUGAAAGCAUGGCAAAAAUGCAAGUGUUCAAAAGUAAAAUGCAAUUUCAAAUAUAGUGGCAAUGCAUUUAAAGUGGAUGUUAUAAAGUCUAUUUACUGGCUCAUCAGUUAUCUGUAACCUUUACUUUCUUGCUAUAUGUCAGUUUUUACACAUUUUGGGGAAUCUAAAAUUGAUGAUUUGAGAUUCAUUAAUUUAAAAUCUCUUUUUGGAUUGGCAGUUUUGCACUUGGUGUCACUUCUUGAGCAGGCUUUUUGCUCUGUUUCUGGCUAAAUAGGAUGGAUGUGCAUAUUAGAGAUGCAUACUGGGAAGUCUCUGCUAGGGAUUCCUUAGGUCUGUAAAACUCUGGAAGUGCAUGGGCACCCUGCUCCACCCUCCUGACCUAGAAGCAGUUGUUGCAUAGAGGUACCGGCGUUCCUGCAGGCAGAAACUAACUUUUGAAUUCUAAUAGUGGUGAAGGGAGUCUGUGAAGUGCCAAUACACAUUCCUGAAGUAUUGUAUGUGUUUUAAUGACUCAUAUUUAGCAAAAGACCGUGGCUUGCCUCAAUCCUGCAUAGCUGAUGUUAAACUUCUGUUUGUUUUCCCUGAUAUUUUAGACUUCUUAGCAGCUGUCAUUAAUAGUGUGGUUGAACAGUGUGAGAGCUAGUUGGAAACAGGUGGUGCAUACUCCAAAUGUCUUGAGAUACAAGUGAUAGUCAACGGUGUUGUUACUGAAAUGUAGAUAUUUGUGCCAGCUCGUGUUGGUUUUGUUUCAGCAGACCUUCCGUAUUCUUUGCUGUGGAGAUGUACGUACAAAGCGUUCAAAAAUGAAUUUAGGCAUGAAUUGCUAAGGCUGUACAAAACCAGCAUAGAAUUUGCUGGCUUUAUUGUAGAAGGUAUAGAUUAAAGCAGAAGCAGAAUGUCAUGACUCCCAGCUAAAAGACAGCUUUGUAGGGAGCAUUUCAUACAGUAUGCUGCAAUUCCCACUCCGAAUAUUCCCAUGUCCAGUGAAUGUGUGAGUCUAUAACUGGGAGAUACACUUGCACAGCACAGUGGUAUCUUUCACAAGCAGGCACUUUGGGAAGACUCAAACUCCAGGCAGGAUUUGGUAUUUUGUACCUUAUUUCAUUUGCAACAGCCUAUCCUGUAGCACAUUAGUUUCAGGUCUUAAAUCUGUUUGCAAAUUGAGCCUUGUAAAGUUGCAGCUAAAAGUGCAUAGUUAUGAGUGUGUUGUAAUUGAAGACUUCAGAGAAGAGCAAAAUUGUGGCGAUUAAUUCGGCCUCCUUAAUUGAAUCUGUGGCUGAAAGACUCUUAUUAAACCUUUUAAAAAUAUUCUCCAUAUCUCUGUACAAUGUUGUUUUGCUAAUCUGUUCAGUCAAGUAAAUGAGGGUUGAUUCAGAGCUUUCUUUUAAGCGAAGUCCCUAGACCAUUAAGCUGGCUAAAAUAAAUGUAGACAUUUGGUUUUCAUUAGUGUUGUAACUGAAACAAAAACAUUUUAAUGACUGAUCCCAGAGUGUUUUGAAGUUUGUGCAACUUUGCUAUGAAAGUAUUUAAACUGUAGUAUCAGUUGCAAGUUGGCCAUAAGCCAGGGUUUCAAAGCUGUUUCAAAGCAAGAUGUUGGGUUUCCAGAGUGUUACAAAACAGGAAAACUUUGAGAGGGGAGAAGUAUUGGAAGGUAGUUACAAUAAAAUUCACGCUGAUGACAUGAAAUUAUCAAAGGAGACAGUGACAGUGUUCAUGCUGUACUACAGUUUGCUGCUUUGUUAAAAAGAUGUUUCAGUUAAUUGGAAAGAAACAUGAUUUUGAGCUUUAAUAUUUAUAUUAAGAAAGAAUUAACUUUGUCCAAGAAAUACUGUGCAUUUUUAGGUGGGCUUUUGAUAUCUUAAACUUGUACAAAAUGCAAUCCUGCUUCUAAGGGAAAGACCUUAAUAUAUUGCUUACCAGAUCUAAUUUAUGAAAUACUUCUUGGGAAAAUAUUUAGGUUGGUCUUAAAAGAUGUUGGCAGUGAAAUCUGAUGAAAAUUAAGAUGUGGACUUGGUCUUGGACAAGUAAAAUAAACUAUAGCUUUACGUUUGUGGGAGAAGCUGGAGAUUGUCAAAGUGCUGUGAGAUGAAGAUCACUUAUUCUGUAUCACACUGUAGUCACAACAGUGUCUCAAGGCAAACCUGCAGAAAUUGUUGAAAUGUUCUGGAUGAUCAGGGGUCAGUCAAGGAGGCAGGGACUGGAGAUCAAGAGCUUCAUCGUGGCCAGACUGCAUUCUUGUGGUUGCUCCUUGGCUUGGGUACCAAAAGUACUGUUUACCAGAACAGUCUAGGUGUUGGUGUCUGUCUUAUUUUUUGUGUCCUUAUGGUUGAUUUGGGUGUGACAAUUAGAAAAAAAACAGAUGACUUUAUUUAGAAUAUUAGAAAUGGGUAGCUAUUUGAGCUAGGGAAAACCAGCACUUCUAGCAAAAAAACCUCCAGAACUUCUCAGAUGGAAUUACAGAACAGUUCAUCUGAACAUGUUUGAAUUUUGAUGUGCUCUUUUGCAUAGUUAUAACCUUAGUGAUUUGAGUAAAACCAAGUGUUCUUACAAAAAUCCCUCUGUCUUAAGUAAGAAGCAGUGAUCUGAGAAUUUCAUCCCAGUUUUCCAGUUGGUGUAUUUAUACUCCACUUUAUAUCUUCACAUCUUAGGAGCAGUGUUCUUACGUAGAGAUUUUGCCUAUCAUGUUUUUAUUUGAAUGCCUGAAUUAAAGAUUUUUACAAAUGUCAAAUAAUGAAAAGUUGCUGCCCUUCUGGGAUGGGUCUGAAAGGCAGUUUGCCUAUCCUCUUCUCUCAUAUUCUUCAGUGGUUUCGCUGUUGGGAUGUUCUAGCUGAAUUGUCGCAUCUCCUAAAGCUUGUGGAGAACAUUGUGUACUUAACACCUUCAUGUUCUGCAAAUGGAAAUAAAGAAACACGUGCAGAUAAAUGUUUACUUCAGUUCCUUUAGCUACAAGUUAGAAAUAUAUUCACAUUGAAGUUGGUUUUGCUAGGCUGUAUAAUAGUCAUCUGACCACAAGUUCAUAAUUGAGACAAAAAUUUUUGCUGAGAAUACCUUGCCUCAGCUGAAGAUUUUGGUAGACCAGUUUUAUGUUGUUCCACACAACAACAAUUGAAGGAACAAUUUGUCAUAAUUCAGUUUAAGAAAGAUAACUUCUUUUUGUGAUCAUAAAAUGCUAGAAGCUCAUCUAUAACUACACUGUUCUUUGAAACCACUUCAGUCACUUUUCCUUUUUUUUGUAUCUUCCCCCAUUCUAAUAGUCAUUAGAGGUUCUUAAAAAAUAUUGCUUUCAAGUCUAAUUUUAAAACUUAAUUUCUUGAGACUAUUUAGUUGAGAUUUAUUACUAUUUGGUAGCACCAUAAUCUUGGUACUGAAAGGAAAUACUAACUUGGUGCUAGUGCUAACAUGAAGCGAAAUAUCUGAUCUAGCCUAAGGCAUUAAAAACCUUAUUAGAAAGGGAAGAGGUGUUCAGUAUCCUUUUGUACCAUUUAUUCACUACUUUUUUUAAUAUUGUGGUAGUUGAGGAGAGAUGAGAUGGAGAUGGCAGAGGACUGAAUAGCUGUGAGAAAGCAGGAAGCAGCCAAAUCCUUAUUUGUACAAGGACUGUCAGAGUGCUGGGUAUGUAUAGGAGCAGUGAUACUUUUUGCAAGUGUGGAGGAGCAGAAUAAGCAGGAAGAGAAUGCACCAUUAUUAAGCUGGAGAAGAGGCAAUUUGAAGAAGAAUGUGGAAUCUUACUAUCUCAGAGUGUGAAGUUAUUUGAGCCAGAGGCAUGGAAAGCUUAGCGUCUUAAACUGCAGAUAUUUACCUCUCUUGUAAUAGUCCUUUAGUUGGCAUUAAUAGUAUAAGCAGCUAAAAGUUCCUGACAACCAUAAACAUUUGCAGUGCACUAAACUUUGCAGUAUUCCAUGGUUAGCAUCAUGUGGCAGGGAAUUUUAAAGGCUGAUUGAUUUCAAAGACAUUAAGGUGCCAAAUUUAGAUUUUUAUUGAAUGUUCCCUUGUCAGGAGCCGACAACUUGCUUUGCUUCUCUUGUAUUUCUCUCCGCUGUUAGGCUGCAACUGGGAGCAAUAUUCUUUCUAAUGAGACUCCUGAGCAUGGAGCUGCAGUAAGAGCAGCAACAUCUGUCUGUAAUAGGGCUUUGCUCUCUCUCCUGCUUUGUUAUUUCCAUAUACCAAAUGCCUGGUGUCUUCCUGCAGCUGAAUCUUGCUCAAAGUACGUGAGGUGUGGGGAAGAAAAUGAAGGUACUGUGUGCAAAUCCAGGAGAUGCAGGCAGCUGAGGGGAAAACAGUAUAAGGAGGGAAUAUAAAUUGCAAGCUCAGGAAUGUGUGAGGCUCUUAAGUCUCUGAGACUAUGAGGACAGUUUUCCAGUUCUGAUGAACUUCUCUGUGUGGUUAUUCUCCAUAUUAAUUUUAGUAAGUACAGCACAUUCCUUUGCAAGAGAAAUAACUUCUUUAAGUUCAGUGUCUUUUGGUAUGGAUGGGCUUUUUUUCCCCUCCACAUCUGGGAAAGUCAGAAUGACAAGAGUGUUGUUUUAAUAGGGAGAGUUAGAGGGUAGAUGGAAAUUCUGUGAUUGGGAAUUGGUUUCCUGUUGCUGAUGGAGAAGAAAAAAAGCAGGGAAUUGUGGAAAGAUGCUGCAGUAUUGACAAGAACUUUACUUUGAGAGAAGAACCUGAGGAAUCAAUCAAGAACAAUGAUGAAGGGGUCUUGGGUGGCAGUUGCAUUAAAGGUAAAUUUUACAAGUACAGUAAUUGACUUGUAAAUAAGAGCUGGUCAAAUGAGCCUUUAUUAUCUCUUAAAGAACUGGAAACAGUGAAGUUGAAUGUAUGGGAUUUAAAAGGCAAUUAAGUAACGGAGGAUUCUUUUUACUGAAUCUUUUUGUUAUUUUCAUUGUUCUUCUUGUAAUUAAUGUUAUAUCUGAUUUGACUCUGUUAAAAAGUAGGUAGAACAAUUAAAUUAUUUAAAGUGUAGUGCAAACAUUAGUGCAGCUUGCUGCAGAAGUGCAGACCUAGUGGAUGUGCUUGGGUGGGAUGGGAGCUGGGCACAGGCUGUGCAGGGUGAGGCCUGCAGCAGAGGAGGGUGUGCCACUGGAAUGACAUCAAUGCUUCACUUAAACAUCGAUCCUGUCACUGGAAGCAAAACAAUUUCUGUGUGAUUCAUGGAAUUGUUGACUUGGGGUUUUUUCCUUUGGUUUGCUUGGAUAAGUAAUGAAGGUGGCUAUAGGAAUACUUACUAAAAAAAUUGGAAUUAACCCUUUUUCAUUUGAUGAAGGAAGUAGUUUGUCUGGGUGACGAUACUGGCAUGGUUUCCCUAUAGAAAUGGAAAAUUCACAAAGAUUUUAGGUGACAGAACUGGGAGUAAAACUUGUAUGUGUGUGCUUUCCUCUUCCCAUGUCCACUCAACAUCUGGAAAGGGCCAGUGGCUGGAAAUAUGUAACUUCUACCUGUCUAAGCAGGACUUCACCUUUAUAAUAAUACCUAAAGAUUAAAGAGAUAUCAUGUGUUCAUGUAAGUCUUCACAGUUUUAGUCAUUAAUUGCAAAAUAGUUCUAUGACAGAGAAAGCAGCAUCCAGCAUCAACUACUUCUACAAACUUAUUUGCUAUGUAGAAGUGCAAAAAUUGCAGUUCUUUGUUUGUAAGAGGCAUAGUUUGUUUGGAGAUCAGACAGUUUGGCUAAAUGGUGCAGAAUUGGUGAUCAGGGAUAGGGCUUCUGCCAUAUCCGAAGCCUACCUUGGAAAUGUUAUGAACUACAAAAGUGAAACAUUAUUCAAACAGAAAAAAAUGAAAUCAUCAUAGUUAUGAACUUACAGCUCAAAUAACUCCUAGGGAAAGCAUUCCCUCUAGACUUGACCAUUUUGUGGUAAUCAUACUUUUAUCUGAAGAAUCAGGUAUUUUGUUGGUUUUGAGACUUAAAAAGUUCUUAUUUUGUGGAUUGAUUGAGCACAAUCAUUCCUAUAUUUCAAUCACAGAAAUGUAAAUACCUACAGUCAUAUACUGCAGUGUGUAGUAUUAUAGCUGCUUUCUAUGAGAGAAAUUAUUUCAUGAGUUGCAGAAAGCAGGAAUGGCUUUUCUAAUCCAUAAACACAUUGCUAAUGGUUUCUCCUAACCUGAUAAAUAUUGGAGAGAACUGUGUUAUCUCUGUAUUGAUUUACAUGUGAUUUCUCCUCCUAAAGGUGCAUGCUUGUCUAAAAACAUGCAAAUGAAACUAACCUGUCUCUAAAAUCAUCAAGAAAAGAGACUUCUGGCUUGCUUUCCUCCAGCAAGGAGAUUAUUAGUUUUCUUUUUCUUAUUGAAUGUUCACUUUCAUUGGCCCACUACUGCCACUGAUGGCAUUAAAGAUUCCAGAAGCAAAAUUUUAAUGUGAUUAACCUGAGACAUUAAGCAGAGAUUAAAUUAGACUUUCUUAAGCAUUCUUUGUUCAUGGAAAAUAGAGCAAAUCAGCAGACUGUGAAAUAGCAAUCGGUCUGCCUUGAAGUUUUAAGCUGGGAGUGGGAGUGCUGGAAUGCCAAAUUUCUGCCUCCUCCCUGACUUUUACUUUUUGAGACUUUGCACUGCACUUUUUCAAAGAAAGGUCAUGAGUAGGAACAUAGUCCCCUGCUAUUCCUGAGUGCUUAGAGUCUUCUCUGAGAGGAGAGUGAGUGGGGUGAUAAACUGCUUUCCCUCUUUCCAUUACCUCAUCCUUCCACCUCCUUGUUUUUCAGUAUAAGCCAGUGUUGCAGACACUACUUUUUCUCAUCCUCCUACAGUGAUCUGAUGGGCAAAUUGCGUGUUUUAAUGGUUUGAUACAAAAAGCCCAAUUCUUGUUAGGGUUGUGCUGUAAAAUAGAAGCAUGCACUUUGUGUUUCUGCUUAGCUUAGUGAUUGCAGGAGGAAGUGUUUGUAUUUGUCUUUCCAUUUCUCAGAGCUGGAUGAGUACCUGUGCAGAGCUCAUUUCAGAAGAUGAGACAGGAAUGGCAAACCACCUCACUACUGGCAUCUACUUUUUAUCCCAUCCAUCUUAUGGACUUCAGCUCUGCUGAAGUCCAUAAGAGCUGAUCCUGCCUGGGGAAUGGAGCAGUUUCUCAGAUGCAUUUUAGCUCUGAGUUAUUUAGUGGCAACAGCUGCUUCCAUCUGUGUCCAUGUGCAGGAAGAGAUGUUCAGCUGAACAGGCAGCUUGCCUUUUUAUUGUGGUGUGUAUAAUGCUCACAUAUGGCCUCAGUUUGCAAAGCUGCAGAAUAUGGCAGAUUUUUUAUAAAGCUCAUUGAGCAAAAUAUGACUGUAAGAGUGUGUAUGUUUAUAUUUUAAAAACAAACAAACAGCUCUGAAAAACCACCCCAAAUCUCACAGUGGUAAUUUGAAGCUAUGACUGUUUGGUCAUCUGUCCAAAUCAAUUUGUGUUAUAAAAGGCAGGUAUGUUAUUUUUCUUUGUGUAUUCCACCCUAAAAGUGAAAUACUGUUUUCUGUCAAGGUCUCCAGAGAGGGAGCCAGGGCUGUUGGCCUGUAUUCCCCCUGUAUUCCCAGUUCUGACAGUGUACCUAGACUCAGUUUGCAACUGGCUGAUGUCAUCAGGCAAAGUUUCAGUUCAUUGAAUCUGUGCACCUCAGUCUACAAAAUAUAUUUUUUAUGCAAAUAUAUAUUUGGACAUUAGCAUAUAUAUGAACUGUGGAUUUAGUUAUUAAAAAAAGCCCACCCAAAACCAGUAAACUGAGAAGAAGAAAUUCUAUUUUAGGGUAAGGACAAGUGAAUUUUCACUUUUUCUUCUAAAAAAUUAUGGAUAUUGUGUAGACAUAAUAAUCUUUUUUUGCUAAAACAGUGAAUAUUUGCCCUACUACUUGUGUUAGCUAUUGUUUUGCAAUAUCAACUGACUUGGAGCCAAGCAGCCAGUCCUUUUCUCAAAUACUGUGAUUAAACACUUGUUUUACUUGUACUUGCAGACAGAGGGGAAAGGAUGGUGUGAGUCCCACUUCUGCACCAGACAGAUUAAUAUACUGACAAUUUGGCUUUUGUGAAGAGGAGUUGUGACUUGGAAACCUUCACACUUGUGAGUUCCAGCAGGACAAUCUGAGGUGUGAUGCUGCCUUAGGUCAGCAAAAGGGAAGACAAACUGGAUCUUCAGUUCCCUGUGGUGUGCACAGGAGGGUGAAGAAACAUGGCAUAACUAAAGUUUAAAAGCACUCUAAUUAUGUUAAGGUAUUUGGAGCCAACAGCUAAGUUCUGGUGCUUCCAAAGAAGCUUUUGAUACAGGCAUAAAUAAUGUUAGCUGAAAAAAAUGAAAAGCAGACCUGCUCAGAUAUUCUCUGUUCUUAUGUUUCCUGUAGAGUACAGAUUUUUUUAAAAAAUCCAUGUUUUAUUCAAAUGUUGUUGGGAGUCCUGGCUCCCUUUCUGCAAUACUGUGUGUUUCAGUGAUCGGUAUAGACAUGUCCCACUUUGAAGUGGUCUAUAUCUAAUUACCUUGUUGAAAUUCCAAGCAAAGCUCCACUUAAAAAUUUACACUGAGAUUCCCUUGUGAGGCUGAUCAGUUCAGACUGUUUAUUUUCAGUCCAUGUACAACUGCUUUUUCACUCUAAGAAAAUUUUGAUUUCUUGGAAAAACUAUGUAGAAAGUGUGAAAUGGUAUGGUAUUCUGAUAAUGUGAAACUUUGUUCUGAUCUUCCUCAUAAGUAUCCUUUGCAGAGAUGUGAUUUUCCUAAAUGAGCAUAAAUAAUUUGUACUAGCUUAUUUUCCACCUCAAAUAAAGACUAGAUGAACAUGAGAUCAUAUUCCUGAUCUUAAUCAGGUACUAAGAGUAUUAGAAAUCUGCCAUCAGUUGCACACAAAUAUUUACCUUUUGGUUGUUUCAAUUACACCGAUUUGAUUACAUUUUGGGUUAUGAGAAGGAUAUUUCAUAUUCAUGUAGUAGGCAAGAUCAACGAGAUGCUUCAGCCAAGGAAUUGCAUUUCCUUGGACAGCUAAUUCAUGUGGCUUUCCACACCCAGCACAAACUGCAUCAUAGAGGCCUUGACUGGAACAUCCUUGGGAAUCUUCUGACCCAGUGAUAAUCUCUGAGGGAUGCUGAAAUAAUAUCGGGUCAUUUUUGAAGGCAAGUGUGCUCCCUUCCCAUCACUCCUGAGGUUUCCAUUGAGUAAAGCUUUUUACUCUCAGUUCUGAAAUCAAGUCCUGUGUUCAAUUUGCAUGAGCAGUCAAAAAGUUAUCUGAUAGCUUUUUUUUUUUUUAAUGGAUGCUGCCUUAAGCUGAGUAUCAGCUAGCAUGCUAGAGAUUUUCCUCUCCUACUCCUAGUAUCUAAGCUUUAUAGUUAUUUUCUGCAUGCAUAUAUUUAGCGUUUUGGUCUCUUUGUGAGCUCUCAAUCCUUUUUUUCAUGUUAAGGCAUUUAAUUUUUUUUUUUUUUUUGUUUUUAAUAGCUAUAUUAAUAUUUAAAUAGACACUUUUUGAUAAUUCUUUUGUUGGUAAUGUCUAAGGUUAAAUAUGGAGUGUAGAUGUCUGCUUUCACUGCAUGGUUUCAUACUUGAAAAUUUUUGCUUGAAGAUACUAUAGAUACCACAGUAACCAUACCAGUUACUUUGUGGAGAGAAUGAGAUAGUGAUGAUAACUCCUAUUCAUCUUGUUGUGUAAAAAUUGUAUCUUGGUCUAAAAGUCCCAAGAUAACACAGUUCUGACAAGAAGUCAUCAUCCAGAAAAUGCAGAAAUUAUACUUUAAUUGUAUCAGACAAACCAAAAGAGGGAGUUACUGGCAAAGCAAUGUGAAAAGGGUAAAAAAUCAUUGUUAACCUUUUUGACAGAGGGGUCUGCAGGGCAAGUUGUAGGGACUUGUACUGAUGUUGGGUUAGUAGUCAUUGGACUCUGUGUAAUGACAGGAUGAAACUUUGGUGGCAAAACUUAGUUGGUUCAAAAAAAUCUACAAAAAAAGAAGUGUCAGAAAGCUAAUGGAUAUCUCUAGCUACUAGUAGUUGCAAGACAGACACCUGUUUUUCUUAGUCUAAAACUUUGUCAUUUUCAAGAUUGAUAGAUGAGGAAAUUGAUGUGACUGUUAUUUUCAGAUAAUGGAAAUUAUCCUCACAUCUUGUCAUUGUAAGUGACUUCUCUGAGACAAUGGUUUUCUUCCAUAACCUCUGAGAUUUGCAACCAUUUACUUGUCUGCUACAUCCCUACUGUCACCAGCCAGUGCACAUCUGUCCUAUGUGCUGGGUGUUCCAGCUGACACUGUGCUGCUUGAACUUACAAAGCAUUGUCCAGAUGGAAGAAUAUUUGUGCUGAGCAGUUGCUAAAGUUGAAGGUAGCUGAAAGCCCAAGGCUGUUACCCACCUGUUCAAAUGGCAAAUUUGGUUCAUGUCACUGCUGAUGGACAGAGCAAGGUAAAAAAGAGAGGAGCCAAGAGCUGCUGUUUGGAUUGGAUGGAAAUUGGUGAGCUCAAGCUGCAUGAGGAGAAGGGAGAAUCUGCCCUGAGCAAGGAAUUUCUAAGCCUCGUAUUCAGCUGCUUCUGUCAAGAGUGGGCAAAAGUUCCUGCCAACACAAACAAGACACAGAACUCAGAUGCAGAACGUUGCAUGUGACAGCAAUCUUUGCAGCACGUGGAUGCAAACAGUGAAUCAGCAGUGCCCAAAUAGCAGACAACAGCAGUCUCAUGGGAUUUCUUAAAACUGCAUGUCAUGCAAUAGAAUUUAUGGCUUCAAAUAUCUCAAUGCAUUAGGACUGUUUCUAAUGUGCAAAAAAAACACACAAAGUUUUGCAUGUUGAAGUGGGCAAUAGGUUCUCCAUGUUAAUCCUUCUCAGGACAGUGAAUGUCCAUGUACAGCAGUUGAAAUACACAGCCUCACUCCAUAUUCUGAUUUAACUUUCUGUUCUUGAAACUAAGAGCAAUGUAUUUGGAUGGAUGUCUGUGCUGCCUCUGCCUCUUGAUGUGUUGAAUUUGUGGUGCUUAUAACUUUUCAAGUAAAACAGAUGUGACUUGCCAAA